rnacentral:misc_RNA from 1 species
AGCAACCGCGGUAAUUCCAGCUCCAAUAGCGUAUAUUAAAGUUGUUGCAGUUAAAAAGCUCGUAGUUGAAUUUCGGGAUCAAUACGUCGGUCGUGCUUCGGUACGUACUGGCGUAAUUGAUUUCUCCCUUCUGACGAACCAUGAUGUCAUUAACUUGGUGUCAUGGGAAAUCAGGACUGUUACUUUGAAAAAAUUAGAGUGUUUAAAGCAGGCUCACGCUUGAAUACAUUAGCAUGGAAUAAUGAAAUAGGACGUUCGAUCCUAUUUUGUUGGUUUUUAGGAUCAACGUAAUGAUUAAUAGGGAUAGUUGGGGGCAUUAGUAUUCAAUUGUCAGAGGUGAAAUUCUUGGAUUUAUUGAAGACUAACUACUGCGAAAGCAUUUGCCAAGGAUGUUUUCAUUAAUCAAGAACGAAAGUUAGGGGAUCGAAGACGAUCAGAUACCGUCGUAGUCUUAACCAUAAACUAUGCCGACUAGGGAUCGGAUGAUGUUAAUUUUUUAAUGACUCAUUCGGCGCCUUAC